UGGAGAACAAACAUGCUCUGUGCCUCAUCCAUGCUGUCAAGAAUUUCUUUUUCUCACACUCUGCAUCCUUGAGCAGUCCCUUCAUGAAACCACAGCAGAUGUUUCUCAGUCCUUUCAUUUUCUUUUUUCAGAGGAAUUGUAAUCGGCUGCGCUUUAAUUAGGAUCUCCCCGAGGAUACUUCGGCUUUCUUCCACACCCGGGAGUUUGCAGAUUCCCUCUUAGUGCACCAGGCUGAUUAGAUUUCUUAAUUCCCUAAAAUAUGCUGUCUCGAAGCCUAAUACCCCUGUAGGGAUGAGGUCUGUUUCUCUGCCUCUCCUCCCAUUACAGUGCUAAAUCCAGGCAGUGGUCUCCCUUACGGCACUUGCUUCUUCCCUGGCUCCGGACCCCUUUUUUGGAUGGCCUGCAAACCUUCUGACAAAGAAGCAGCCUUGAAAAGACAAAAUGGAUCCAGCAGGGAAUUAGACAGAAAAUAUUUACAGACUCGGUGAACCAAGAGCUGGGUGUUCCGGGCUGUUGAAGAAAAUGGAGUAAUGGGAUAGAAGCUGCUUUCAACUUCCUGCUGAGGACCCAAGGCCAGGAAAAAAGAAAAUUUUUGGAUAUCAGAAAUCAGAACAGGCCUGGAGUUGGGGAAUAAAUUAGGAAAGACACGGACUCAAGCAAAGGAAGACAUCAGAAGUAGAGGUUGGCCAAAGGACAAAACUACAAAGCAGCAAUUGCAGAUUGAAUCAAAUCAUCAGCUACUGGACAUUACAACAUUCACCAUGGAGAGUAACAAUAAUAUGCAUUUAUCAGAACUUCACUAUGUGCCAGGCACAACAUUUUAUGGAAGAUGAACAGGUAGAUAGACAAACAGAUAUGAGUACAUAGCUAGGUAAGUUGGUAGAUAGGUAGCAGGAUUCUCUGUCUCCCUAUUCCUUCUGGUAAGAAGAUAAAAGCUAAUGACUUCAAAAGCAUAACUGUGCAUUCAAUAUUCAUAGAAAGGGUCUGUGUGUGGUAGGAAAGAGACACAGGACAGGCAUGCUUGUCAAUUAAAAGAUUACGGUAGUGUGGUAAACUAGCCUUAUAAGCCUGGGUGAGGAUUAUUGGUGCAGUAUUAACCCUCACAGGAAUAGAUACCCAGUUACGUUUUACUACUCCAGGCUGUUGAAGACAACUGGAAUAAAAAGUCAAGGCAGUGGCCAGAUGCAGUGGCUUAAGCCUGUUAUCCCAGCACUUGGGGAGGCCGAGGUGGGCAGAUCACCAGAGAUCAGGAGUUUGAGACUAGCCUGGCCAACGUGGUGAAACCCCACCUCUACUAAGAAUACAAAAAAUUAGCCAGACAUUGUGGUGAGUGCCUGUAGUCCCAGCUACUCAGGAGGCUGAGGCAGGAGAAUCACUUGAACCUGGGAGGCAGAGGUUGCAGUGAGCCGAGAUCGCACCAUUGCACUCCAGCCUGGGCAACAGAGCGAGACUCUGUCUCAAAAAAAAAAAAAAAAAAAAAAAAAAAUCAAGAAGGAACCCAAGGCAGAUGGUUCUCAAGUCUUCCCCCUAUGCCACUUCGCCUUUGCAGUUUUCCAUCUCCUCCACCCAGCAACAGAAGCAGAUGCAGGAAUCCUGAGAUACAAAAGGAGGCUGAAAACUCGAUAAUUGCUAGGGAAUAAUGAUAGUCUAAGAAAGAAGGAGAGUAGGAGGGAAGGGGGCUUGGUGAGAAAGAUGGGAGUCUGCUCCACAUUCUUCCCUGGCUGGGAGAUUGUCUGCAAGGGCACCUGGAGGCUGGCAGCUGGUACUAUGAGCUGCUAUUAAAGCCCUGUUAUCC
rnacentral:lncRNA from 10 species